AUUGAACGCUGGCGGCAGGCCUUACACAUGCAAGUCGGACGAGUGGCGAACGGGUGAGUAAUGUAUGGGAACGUGCCGACUGGUGGGGGAUAACUAUCCGAAAGGACAGCUAAUACCGCAUACUAUUAGAGCGGACGAUGUCUGCUGAGCUGGUUGGCUGGGUAAAGGCCCACCAAGGCGACGAUCAGUAGCGGGUCUGAGAGGAUGAUCCGCCACACUGGGACUGAGACACGGCCCAGACUCCUACGGGAGGCAGCAGUGGGGAAUUUUGGACAAUGGGCGCAAGCCUGAUGCAGCCAUGCCGCGUGUCUGAAGAAGGCCUUCGGGUUGUAAAGGACUUUUGUCAGGGAAGCGGUACUUGAAGAAUAAUCACCGGCUAACUACGUGCCAGCAGCCGCGGUAAUAC
rnacentral:rRNA from 1 species